AAUGAACGCUGGUGGCAGGCCUAACACAUGCAAGUCGAACGGAUCCUUCGGGAUUAGUGGCGGACGGGUGAGUAACGCGUGGGAACAUACCCUUUGGUACGGAAUAGCCUCGGGAAACUGGGAGUAAUACCGUAUGUGGUCGAGAGACGAAAGAUUUAUCGCCAAAGGAUUGGCCCGCGUUGGAUUAGGUAGUUGGUGGGGUAAUGGCCUACCAAGCCGACGAUCCAUAGCUGGUUUGAGUGGAUGAUCAGCCACACUGGGACUGAGACACGGCCCAGACUCCUACGGGAGGCAGCAGUGGGGAAUCUUAGACAAUGGGGGAAACCCUGAUCUAGCCAUGCCGCGUGAUCGAUGAAGGCCUUAGGGUUGUAAAGAUCUUUCAGGUGGGAAGAUAAUGACUGUACCACCAGAAGAAGCCCCGGCUAACUCCGUGCCAGCCGCCGCGGUAAGAC
rnacentral:rRNA from 1 species